rnacentral:tRNA from 1 species
AGUUCAAUGGUCUAUAGGAACGAUUCUUGCUUUUUGAGCAAGAGGUCCUGAGUUCGACUCUCAGUUGAGCCC